GACGAACGCUGGCGGCGUGGAUUAGGCAUGCAAGUCGAGCGACGAAUAGUCUUCGGACUAUUACGGAGCGGCGAACGGGUGAGUAACACGUGAACAACCUGCCCUCACAUUCUGGAUAAUUGGUCGAAAGACCUUGUAAUACAGGCGAGGAUUUUCUUUAGGCAUCUUUAGAAAAGGGAAGGCGCAACGUAAGUUGUGUCGUGCGAGGAGGGGUUCGCGGAUUAUCAGGUAGUUGGUGGGGAAUGGCCCACCAAGCCGACGACGAUUAGGUGGUCUGAGAGGAUGGUCACCCACAUUGGGACUGAGACACUGCCCAGACUCCUACGGGAGGCUGCAGUCGAGAAUCUUGCACAAUGUACGAAAGUAUGAUGCAGCGACGCCGCGUGAAGGAUGAAGGCCCUCUGGGUCGUAAACUUCUUUUAUGUGGGAAGAACGGCGGGUUAAACCGCCUUGACGGUACCACAUGAAUAAGCCACGGCU
rnacentral:rRNA from 1 species